UAGGGAAUCUUCGGCAAUGGACGAAAGUCUGACCGAGCAACGCCGCGUGAGUGAAGAAGGUUUUCGGAUCGUAAAACUCUGUUGUUAGAGAAGAACAAGGACGUUAGUAACUGAACGUCCCCUGACGGUAUCUAACCAGAAAGCCACGGCUAACUACGUGCCAGCAGCCGCGGUAAUACGUAGGUGGCAAGCGUUGUCCGGAUUUAUUGGGCGUAAAGCGAGCGCAGGCGGUUUCUUAAGUCUGAUGUGAAAGCCCCCGGCUCAACCGGGGAGGGUCAUUGAAAACUGGAAGACUUGAGUGCAGAAGAGGAGAGUGGAAUUACAUGUGUAGCGGUGAAAUGCGUAGAUAUAUGGAGGAACACCAGUGGCGAAGGCGGCUCUCUGGUCUGUAACUGACGCUGAGGCUCGAAAGCGUGGGGAGCAAACAGG
rnacentral:rRNA from 1 species